UUUAGACAAUUCAAACUUAUCAUGGCUGCCACUUAGAUACUUCCGGGUCAUUUCACUCAGUUAGGAACUUUACUAAGCAAAAAAGACUAUUCGGACGCAGCCAAGGUCUUAGGAUUUCACCUCUACCCAUAAUUCCCCGUCAUACCCAUCAGUGCGAAAUAGAACAGUUUUGGAGAGAAUGACUUCAGUGCAGACUGUCUUGUUAUCAUAGGUGUUCGGCUCACAUAAAAUCCUGUGUGGAUUGACCUGGGAAGAUCACAGUAAGGACCAAAUUCAAGAUGUGUACAAAAGAUUCUUGUUUCAUUACUCCAAAUCCCAGGACUCGCAUCACUCAGUAAAUAGUGAGUCUCAGUCAGCACAUCCUCUGCUGCGCCUGUCUCCCAAACUGAGGAGGAAGAAGCAGUUCAUCCUAAUGCAGCCCAGCAUCCUCUCAGACGAGCAAUGAACAGCAGCUGCCAGGAGAGCAGCUGAUCCCCCCCCCCCAUCCCCUCUACUUCAGAAGACUUUGGACAUGUUAUCAGUUAUUGUAUUAUUAAAUGUUGUACUUUUUGGAACAAGAUGCAUCAAAUGAAAAUAAAUGUCUAAAAAGUGAUUACAAAAUUGA